CAGGAACCACCAAGGGCAAGAAUUCUCACAGUCACAAUGGUUCCCCACCACCACUGACACCACCCCCUCCCCAAUGAGGGAAGGCUAAGGCAGGAGCAUUUGUAGAGCAUUCUGCUGUUCCACAGGUACAGCAUCCAUCCCUCACCCCAUUCUGUGUAGGCUAGGAAGGAGGCUCAACCCAUUACCAACAUCAGUGACCAGAAUAUUUCUGGCUGUUCUUGUGUGGAGUAAUUUAUUCACCUGUUCCAGGAGGCACGAGGGAAGAGGUUGAAUAGGCAGGGGGAGCCUGCUAGCGUCUGACUCUGAGAGGAAAAAAUGGAUGCCGGAGGAAAAAGCCAGGGCAAGGACAACAACGGAGGAGAAGGCUGCAGCAGAAUGGCGAAGAGCUGUGGAGCAGAACAGUACAGCUACCCGUCUGGACAUCAUAAUCAUCAACUGAUAUUAUUAUCCUUUUUCUUCUGUUCAACUCAAUUGUUCAC